AGGAUGAACGCUAGCGGGAGGCUUAACACAUGCAAGUCGAGGGGUAACGAUGUAGCUUGCUACAGGCGACGACCGGCGCACGGGUGCGUAACGCGUAUGCAACUUUCCUUAUACAGGAGGAUAGCCCAGGGAAACUUGGAUUAAUACUCCAUAAUGUCACCAGGUCGCAUGGCCAGGUGAUUAAAACUCCGGUGGUAUAAGAUGGGCAUGCGUAGGAUUAGCUAGUAGGUAGUGUAACGGACUACCCAGGCAACGAUCCUUAGGGGUUCUGAGAGGAUUAUCCCCCACACUGGUACUGAGACACGGACCAGACUCCUACGGGAGGCAGCAGUGAGGAAUAUUGGUCAAUGGGCGCGAGCCUGAACCAGCCAUCCCGCGUGCAGGAUGACGGCCCUAUGGGUUGUAAACUGCUUUUCUACGCCAAGAAAGGCCCGUACGAGUACGGGAUUGACGGUAGCGUAGGAAUAAGCAUCGGCUAACUCCGUGCCAGCAGCCGCGGUAAUACGGAGGAUGCAAGCGUUAUCCGGAUUCAUUGGGUUUAAAGGGUGCGCAGGCGGGCUUGUAAGUCAGUGGUGAAAUACUGCCGCUUAACGGUAGAAUUGCCAUUGAUACUGCGAGUCUUGAGUAUGGUUGAGGUAGGCGGAAUGUGCAGUGUAGCGGUGAAAUGCACAGAGAUUGCACAGAACGCCGAUUGCGGAGGCAGCUUACUAAGCCAUAACUGACGCUGAGGCACGAAAGCGUGGGGAGCGAACAGGAUUAGAUACCCUGGUAGUCCACGCUGUAAACGAUGUUCACUCGCUGUUUGCGAUACACAGUAAGCGGCUGAGCGAAAGCAUUAAGUGAACCACCUGGGGAGUACGAUCGCAAGGUUGAAACUCAAAGGAAUUGACGGGGGCCCGCACAAGCGGAGGAACAUGUGGUUUAAUUCGAUGAUACGCGAGGAACCUUACCUGGGCUUAAAUGUAGGCUGCAUGGAGUAGAAAUACUUCUUUCCUUCGGGACUGCUUACAAGGUGCUGCAUGGUUGUCGUCAGCUCGUGCCGUGAGGUGUCGGGUUAAGUCCCAUAACGAGCGCAACCCUUAUCGUUAGUGCUAGCCAGGUAAAGCUGAGGACUCUAGCGAGACUGCCACC
rnacentral:rRNA from 1 species